rnacentral:sRNA from 1 species
GUGCUAGCACUAGAGACUCAAAUCCCUCAGUGUUCCACAGAGAAGGUACAGCACGCACAGCAAUAACUCAGCCUUCUGCAUAUGCCAACAAGUGUGCUGUGACCUGAAGGGCCCACCUUUGUAGUGACAGGAUGUGAAAAGAUAAUUCAGUCACUGACCUCUCAGUUGAGUCGGUCAA